AUAAGAGGUUCCGCCUGCCCUGUGACAAGAAGUUUAACGGCCGCGGUAUUUUGACCGUGCAAAGGUAGCGCAAUCACUUGUCUUUUAAAUGAAGACCUGUAUGAAUGGCAUAACGAGGGCUUUACUGUCUCCUUUUUCAAGUCAAUGAAAUUGAUCUCCCCGUGCAGAAGCGGGGAUACAGCCAUAAGACGAGAAGACCCUAUGGAGCUUUAGACACCAAGACAGAUCUUGUUAAGUAUACUCAAAUAAAAGACUAAACCAAAAGAAGCCUGUCCUAAUGUCUUUGGUUGGGGCGACCGCGGGGAAACAAAAAACCCCCAUGUGGACUGAGUACACCCUUACUCAAAACCAAGAGCCACAGCUCUAAUUAACAGAAAUUCUGACCUUAAGAUCCGGCAUGCCGAUCAACGGACCGAGUUACCCUAGGGAUAACAGCGCAAUCCUCUUUUAGAGCCCAUAUCGACAAGGGGGUUUACGACCUCGAUGUUGGAUCAGGACAUCCUAAUGGUGCAGCCGCUAUUAAGGGUUCGUUUGUUCAACGAUUAAAGUCCUACGUGAUC
rnacentral:rRNA from 1 species